UGGGGAAUUGUUCACAAUGGGCGCAAGCCUGAUGACGCAACGCCGCGUGGAGGAUGAAGGUCUUCGGAUUGUAAACUCCUGUUGCCCGGGACGAAUGGCUCCGACCUAAUACGUCGGAGUGUGACGGUACCGGGUGAGGAAGCCCCGGCUAACUCUGUGCCAGCAGCCGCGGUAAUACAGAGGGGGCAAGCGUUGUUCGGAAUUACUGGGCGUAAAGGGCGCGUAGGCGGCCUGUUAAGUCGAACGUGAAAUCCCCGGGCUCAACCCGGGAACUGCGUCCGAUACUGGCAGGCUUGAAUUCGGGAGAGGGAUGCGGAAUUCCAGGUGUAGCGGUGAAAUGCGUAGAUAUCUGGAGGAACACCGGUGGCGAAGGCGGCAUCCUGGACCGAGAUUGACGCUGAUGCGCGAAAGCCAGGGGAGCAAACGGG
rnacentral:rRNA from 1 species